UACGUAGGUGGCGAGCGUUAUCCGGAUUUAUUGGGUUUAAAGGGUGCGUAGGCGGAAUAUCAAGUCAGCGGUAAAAAUUCGGGGCUCAACCCCGUCGUGCCGUUGAAACUGAUGUUCUUGAGUGGGCGAGAAGUAUGCGGAAUGCGUGGUGUAGCGGUGAAAUGCUUAGAUAUCAGGAGGAACAUCGGUGGCGUAAGCGCUUUACUGGGCCGUAAUUGACGCUGAGGAACGAAAGCCAGGGUAGCAAAUGGG
rnacentral:rRNA from 1 species